rnacentral:rRNA from 1 species
GCCUGAUGCAGCCAUGCCGCGUGUGUGAUGAAGGCCUUAGGGUUGUAAAGCUCUUUCACCAGGGAUGAUAAUGACCGUACCUGGAAAAGAAGCCCCGGCUAACUCCGUGCCAGCAGCCGCGGUAAUA